rnacentral:rRNA from 1 species
UACGGGGGGGGCAAGCGUUGUUCGGAAUUACUGGGCGUAAAGGGCUCGUAGGCGGCCAACUAAGUCGGACGUGAAAUCCCCAGGCUCAACCUGGGAACUGCGUCCGAUACUGGAUGGCUUGAAUCCGGGAGAGGGAUGCAGAAUUCCAGGUGUAGCGGUGAAAUGCGUAGAUAUCUGGAGGAAUACCGGUGGCGAAGGCGGCAUCUUGGACCGGCAUUGACGCUGAGGAGCGAAAGCCAGGGGAGCAAACGGG